AGAAAUCAGCUGUUUCCAAAUGCCAUUUGUAACAAGGGCCAGACAAAAGCAACUCUACACUUGUCAGGGCCCUGAGUGUUAGGCACAAGUAUGCUUACCAAGAUUCCAUUUCUCUGGAGACUGUGUGCGUGGAGCUGGGUAAAUCAAAAGGAUAAAAGAGAGUACAGCACGGCAGGGUGAUUGCAUCAGAAGAGCAAUAAAGACUUCAAAGCUGGAAGAAGAGGAACAGCAUGGAAAAGGGGGCAGUGUCUCAGCGGGACCAGCAGCAGCUCAGAUGGCCUACAUUCCUAAGACCUUUAAUUGUUGCUAAAGUCUUACUGGGGCAUCCCCUUUACAUAAGCAUGCCAGUGCCUGGUACAAGAAAAGAGAUCAGCAGUAGUGUAGACUCUUUGCCAGUGUCUGAGAACAAACUGAGAUCCCACAGAAUGAAGAGAGAAGACAUCUGAGCUGCAGAAAGGAGCCAAAACCAAGGGACACUCUGAGUGAAGAUUCGUGGACAAGGCUGGCCAACCUCAUUCCUGUGAUACCAUUGACUUGGCCAGACUUUUCCCUCUAUUUUAAUGCAGGUCUUUUAGAGCAGAGGUAUCAAACAGAUCAUGACACUUUUGAGUGCAGCCCAAGCCAGAUCAAAAUGUAAUUGGGAAAUAUUUAACAAAACAAAUAAAAAUGCAAUGAAACAGAGAUAACAUGACAUUGUAAAACUAAGUCAAUAUGCGGCCUGCAGGGAUCCUUAAGUUUGGAUUAGUGGCCUCAUUUCUAUUUGAGUCUGACACCACUGUUUUAGAAGAUUAUUUCCCAGAUUUCUACACAGAAUCUAAGAAACAGCUAUAGUCAUCUUCAAGUUUAACAAUGCCACUGUUAAAUGCUAUCCCCACUUUGUUAUGCUUCCAGAAAGAGGGAACUUUAUCCAUUUCAGAGGCAUGAUUCUUGGUGAAACUAUUUUCCCAAAAUACUCUAAUGAGAAUUAAGGAUUCAUUAACUCUCAUUUAGGAAUGCGUGUUAAAAUGUGUUCUCCAUCCUUUUCUAAUUGCUUGAGCAAAAAGUACUUUACUUUUAAAAUGCAUGGCCUUUGUCUGGUCUGCAAGUAAGGUACAGAGUUCAAAUGACUUUAGAGAUUCCCAGAUUGUCUUGGGUUGGGGCUUAAGCCAGUUAAUGUUGUUUAUUAUUAUUUCCAACAUUAUCACAAGAUUAUAUAGAUUUAGAUACAGAAGAGACAUCAAAUCCAACUCCUUCAUUUUACAGAUGAUGAAACUGAGACCAAGAAAGUGACUUGCUAAGAGUAACGUAAUUAGUAAAUGUCUGAGACAGGAUUCAAAUUCAGGACUUCUCGAUUCCACACCCAUCAGUCUGCCAAUUCUGCUCCCUAGCUGUCAGUCCCACAUUAAACCCAGUAGUUCCUGUAAAUCCUGAGUUGACAGGGACAUGAGGUACAUAUUUAUUUGAUCCUAAUAGGGCAGUCAACUUGGUAGCCAUCAGUAAUCAAGGUGAUAAUAGCAUCUAUUACUCACACACACUACUAAUAGAGACAGAAUCUAGCACCUCUUCUCUAUUAGAGCAGAAUAACGAAUGUUUUUUUAAUUUCUGAAUUCUGUCCCAAAGGUCAUUAUCCUCCAUAGUUUUCAGGUGUACUCAUCUGAAUGCACUGUCCACAUCUGGGGAGCAAUUGAAUUUGAACAGUUGAACCAAUCACAUUUAGCUUGAAUAACAAAGCUCUUUGGUUUUGAGGACCCAUAUGGAACAGUAGAAAAGACACAUUGUCAUAGGAGUCAAAAAAAAAAACCUGGGGUUUUCCCAGCCUGCCUAUCUCAAUGACCUUGGGCAAGAAGCUUCAACUUUCUGGGGCUCUAUCUCUACAACAUAAAAUGAAAGGGUUGGACAGCUCUAAAUUUCUGUGAUUCCCCAUGAUUCUCAGGCCUUCGUCCAAUACAAGAUUUUGGUUCUGACAGCCAUGUAGACAGAACUGGACAUAAACACACAACUAAGUGGAAUCCAUCCGUAGAAGAAAAUUAAAUGAAAAGACUAUCUUAUGAUCAUAGAUCUAGAAGAAACCUCAGAGGUCUCUAGUCCAAAUCUUUCAUUUUAAAAAUAAGGAAACGGAGACCCAGAUAUUAUAAGAGACUUCCCCAUGAUCUUUUGGAUAGUAAGCAUUGGAUAUAGGAUUUGAACUCAUUUUAUCUUACCCCAGAACCAGGACUCUGUUUUUCUUUAUUAUCUGGCAACCAUAUCUUCCCUCACAGGGCAAUUAGGUAGUUCAGUGGAUAGAGCAGUGGGCUUGGAACCAGGAAAACUCAUCUUCAUGAGUUCAA